UACGUAGGGGGCAAGCGUUGUCCGGAAUUAUUGGGCGUAAAGCGCGCGCAGGCGGCCUUGUAAGUCUGGUGUUUAAGCUCGGGGCUCAACCCCGAUACGCACCGGAAACUGCAAAGCUUGAGUGCAGAAGAGGAAAGUGGAAUUCCACGUGUAGCGGUGAAAUGCGUAGAGAUGUGGAGGAACACCAGUGGCGAAGGCGACUUUCUGGGCUGUAACUGACGCUGAGGCGCGAAAGCGUGGGGAGCAAACAGG
rnacentral:rRNA from 1 species